rnacentral:rRNA from 1 species
AUUGAACGCUGGCGGCAGGCCUAACACAUGCAAGUCGAACGGUAGCACAGAGAGCUUGCUCUCGGGUGACGAGUGGCGGACGGGUGAGUAAUGUCCGGGAAACUGCCCGAUGGAGGGGGAUAACUACUGGAAACGGUAGCUAAUACCGCAUAACGUCGCAAGACCAAAGUGGGGGACCUUCGGGCCUCACACCAUCGGAUGUGCCCAGAUGGGAUUAGCUAGUAGGUGGGGUAAUGGCUCACCUAGGCGACGAUCCCUAGCUGGUCUGAGAGGAUGACCAGCCACACUGGAACUGAGACACGGUCCAGACUCCUACGGGAGGCAGCAGUGGGGAAUAUUGCACAGUGGGCGCAGGCCUGAUGCAGCCAUGCCGCGUGUAUGAAGAAGGCCUUCGGGUUGUAAAGUACUUUCAGCGGGGAGGAAGGCGGUGAAGUUAAUAGCUUCACCGAUUGACGUUACCCGCAGAAGAAGCACCGGCUAACUCCGUGCCAGCCGCCGCAGUAA